CGGCAGGCCUAACACAUGCAAGUCGAACGGUAACAGGAAGAAGCUUGCUUCUUUGCUGACGAGUGGCGGACGGGUGAGUAAUGUCUGGGAAACUGCCUGAUGGAGGGGGAUAACUACUGGAAACGGUAGCUAAUACCGCAUAACGUCGCAAGACCAAAGAGGGGGACCUUCGGGCCUCUUGCCAUCGGAUGUGCCCAGAUGGGAUUAGCUAGUAGGUGGGGUAAAGGCUCACCUAGGCGACGAUCCCUAGCUGGUCUGAGAGGAUGACCAGCCACACUGGAACUGAGACACGGUCCAGACUCCUACGGGAGGCAGCAGUGGGGAAUAUUGCACAAUGGGCGCAAGCCUGAUGCAGCCAUGCCGCGUGUAUGAAGAAGGCCUUCGGGUUGUAAAGUACUUUCAGCGGGGAGGAAGGGAGUAAAGUUAAUACCUUUGCUCAUUGACGUUACCCGCAGAAGAAGCACCGGCUAACUCCGUGCCAGCAGCCGCGGUAAUACGGAGGGUGCAAGCGUUAAUCGGAAUUACUGGGCGUAAAGCGCACGCAGGCGGUUUGUUAAGUCAGAUGUGAAAUCCCCGGGCUCAACCUGGGAACUGCAUCUGAUACUGGCAAGCUUGAGUCUCGUAGAGGGGGGUAGAAUUCCAGGUGUAGCGGUGAAAUGCGUAGAGAUCUGGAGGAAUACCGGUGGCGAAGGCGGCCCCCUGGACGAAGACUGACGCUCAGGUGCGAAAGCGGGGGGAGCAAACAGGAUUAGAUACCCUGGUAGUCCACGCCGUAAACGAUGUCGACUUGGAGGUUGUGCCCUUGAGGCGUGGCUUCCGGAGCUAACGCGUUAAGUCGACCGCCUGGGGAGUACGGCCGCAAGGUUAAAACUCAAAUGAAUUGACGGGGGCCCGCACAAGCGGUGGAGCAUGUGGUUUAAUUCGAUGCAACGCGAAGAACCUUACCUGGUCUUGACAUCCACAGAACUUUCCAGAGAUGGAUUGGUGCCUUCGGGAACUGUGAGACAGGUGCUGCAUGGCUGUCGUCAGCUCGUGUUGUGAAAUGUUGGGUUAAGUCCCGCAACGAGCGCAACCCUUAUCCUUUGUUGCCAGCGGUCCGGCCGGGAACUCAAAGGAGACUGCCAGUGAUAAACUGGAGGAAGGUGGGGAUGACGUCAAGUCAUCAUGGCCCUUACGACCAGGGCUACACACGUGCUACAAUGGCGCAUACAAAGAGAAGCGACCUCGCGAGAGCAAGCGGACCUCAUAAAGUGCGUCGUAGUCCGGAUUGGAGUCUGCAACUCGACUCCAUGAAGUCGGAAUCGCUAGUAAUCGUGGAUCAGAAUGCCACGGUGAAUACGUUCCCGGGCCUUGUACACACCGCCCGUCACACCAUGGGAGUGGGUUGCAAAAGAAGUAGGUAGCUUAACCUUCGGGAGGGCGCUUACCACUUUGUGAUUCAUGACUGGGGUG
rnacentral:rRNA from 1 species